AUGAACGCUAGCUACAGGCUUAACACAUGCAAGUCGAGGGGAAACGGCAUCGAAAGCUUGCUUUUGAUGGGCGUCGACCGGCGCACGGGUGAGUAACGCGUAUCCAACCUGCCCAUCACUUGGGAAUAACCUUGCGAAAGUAAGACUAAUGCCCAAUGACAUCCCACGAAGGCAUCCGAAUGGGAUUAAAGAUUUAUCGGUGAUGGAUGGGGAUGCGUCUGAUUAGCUUGUUGGCGGGGUGACGGCCCACCAAGGCAACGAUCAGUAGGGGUUCUGAGAGGAAGGUCCCCCACAUUGGAACUGAGACACGGUCCAAACUCCUACGGGAGGCAGCAGUGAGGAAUAUUGGUCAAUGGGCGAGAGCCUGAACCAGCCAAGUAGCGUGCAGGAUGACGGCCCUAUGGGUUGUAAACUGCUUUUAGAAGGGAAUAAAGUGGGUCACGUGUGACUUUUUGCAUGUACCUUAUGAAUAAGGACCGGCUAAUUCCGUG
rnacentral:rRNA from 1 species